UAAAAACAUAAAAUGAAUACAAUACGAAGCCCAAAAACAAAAGCUAAACGAAGUACACAGGUUGUGACGCCCCGACUUCCCAGGGGGUCACCCAUCCUAGGAUUACUCCCGUCCUAGCACGCUUAACUCUCUUAACCUCUUGGGUCUAGCCACCACCCAAAAUACUUAAGCCGGGUUAAGAGUUUAGCCCUAUUAUUUCUGAUAUAUAGGACUAUCUGGGGUCUCACAAUAUAUUGUGAGACCCCAGAUAGUCCUAUAUAUCAGAAAUAAUAGGGCUAAACUCUUAACCCGGCUUAAGUAUUUUGGGUGGUGGCUAGACCCAAGAGGUUAAGAGAGUUAAGCGUGCUAGGACGGGAGUAAUCCUAGGAUGGGUGACCCCCUGGGAAGUCGGGGCGUCACAGAUGGUAUCAGAGCCAAUUACCAGCCGGAAGUGUGAGAUGAGUCUCGGCUGAGCCAGGGUCUGGAUGACGGACUAGCGAGAUAAGUUUCACAUCGCCUGGUACUUGUGAGUCUGAGCCUGACGAGGACGUCAGGGCUUAAAGGAGGGGAGAUUGUGAGACCCCAGAUAGUCCUAUAUAUCAGAAAUAAUAGGGCUAAACUCUUAACCCGGCUUAAGCAUUUUGGGUGGUGGCUAGACCCAAGAGGUUAAGAGAGUUAAGCGUGCUAGGACGGGAGUAAUCCUAGGAUGGGUGGCCCCCUGGGAAGUCGGGGCGUCACACAGGUGGUCUCUAUACAUGGUACAAAACUCUCUCUCUCACUCUCUAAUACAAUAAAAGAAAGAGUAACCACCUAAACACAAAAGUAGCUCCUCUCUAUCUAGCUAGGCGACACCCUUGCCGCGAUCCCGUGCCUCCGCCGGUGCCGAAGGCUCUGAAAAGGAAACAUAAAACAGGGGGCGUGAGAACUAUUAAAUAUAGUUCCCAGUGGACAAUUACUGACUUUAGUGAAAGCACCACUAGGCCCAAAAAGCUAAACAGGAAGGUAACACUAAGAGCAAUAGAAUCGAUAUGUAAGCAAACAUGUGAACUUACUACAACAUGAUAUCUCUACUUAGCAUGAAUUUGCAAAAGUAAAUAAAGACUAUUCUAACAUGAAGGUACAAAAGUGUCACUAGCAUGAUGUCCACAAGCUAAAUAGUAAAAUGUCUUGUUUACUAUUCUAGUCAAUGUCCAGUCGGUAUGCUAAGUCAUCAAUGAUCCAAUCCUGUAGGACCUACCCGUGGGUAGUCCAGUCUGCGCCGUGCCUAAUGGCCCCGUGGUAGUCAACAUUCCCACUCUAGGAAUGAGCCUCCCCCACGGCAUCCCAUUUCGGCGCCCAAUCCCGCACGAGCGAGCAUAUGUCGCGAUGGCUAUCUCCGGAGUGCCGGCUUGUAGGGAGCGACCCUCACAAGCAUGUGCGAAUGAGCACAAUGGCAAGCAAGCGAAAGAUCUGUCUCAAGUACCAAGUCCUCACAUAUAAAAAUAUGGAAUAUAUCGAAUGUCACAAAGGCCUAUCACUAUGUCAUCAUGUCUCUAAUAUGGAAUAUAGUCGAUGUCCAAUGGCCUAUCACUAUGUCUCUAUGUUGCAUUCUCAUAGUUUACUAGUUUCAAGUGCCCCUUUAUGACACUUUUGUUCAAUGAGUCCAAGCAUGAUAAUUAUGUUCAUUAAUACAUAAUUCUAACCAUUUCUAGC
rnacentral:lncRNA from 1 species